rnacentral:rRNA from 1 species
GGCGAUAAUCCCCGAUAGGUGAGGGACGCUGGGAUGCUUCUUCGCUCAAAGCUCUGGCGCCCGAGGAUGGGACUGCGGCCUAUCAGGCUGUUGGUGGUGUGACGGACCACCAAACCUACGACGGGUACGGGCGAUGGGAGUCGGAGCCUGGAGAUGGGGACUGAGACAAGGCCCCAGGCCCUACGGGGCGCAGCAGGCGCGAAAACUCCGCAAUGCGCGCAAGCGUGACGGGGGAACCCCAAGUGCCGUUGGUCUUUUGAUCGACGGCUUUUCGGAAGUCCAAUAAGCUUCCGGAAUAAGGGCUGGGCAAGACUGGUGCCAGCCGCCGCGGUAACACCAGCAGCCCAAGUGGUGGCCGCGAUUAUUGGGCCUAAAGCGCUCGUAGCCGGAUCAGCAAGUCCUUUGUGAAAUCGGGCCGCCCAACGGUUCGGCGUGCAAAGGAUACUGUUGGUCUUGAGACCGGGAGAGGUCGGAGGUACUCUUGGGGUAGCGGUGAAAUGCUGUAAUCCUGGGGGGACCACCAGUGGCGAAGGCGUCCGACCAGAACGGAUCUGACGGUGAGGGGCGAAGGCUAGGGGAGCGAACGGGAUUAGAUACCCCGGUAGUCCUAGCUGUAAAGCAUGCGGGCCAGGUGUCUAGCGCUCCUUGAGGGCGCUAUGUGCCGGAGGGAAGCCGUUAAGCCCGCCGCCUGGGAAGUACGGCCGCAAGGCUGAAACUUAAAGAAAUUGGCGGGGGAGCACC